rnacentral:lncRNA from 1 species
GACACUGUGGCGGUACGUGAGGCCCACCACAGAUAACACAACGCGGCGGUCGUCGACCCUCGGGUGCUCCACGGGGCGCUGAAGAACCUCGACCCCUCGACUGACCUGACUGGCCCCUCGGAUACUUUGGCGGUCUCCGAAAGGACUGCUGACCACUGCUCUCAGUUGCUGGUCUCUUGCCUUUGCUUCGAUCCACAACAUCUCUUUCCUUUAUGAUUU